CUCCUGACCUGGCAGGGGCAUUAAUAUGAUCAAGGAGGUGGUUUGCCCAAAGCAAGGUUCAGCCAUUGCGCUCAGGCUGUGCUGACCUUUGAGAAUUCCCCAAAUGUAGGAAUCCCGACUACGUAGUUUCUGGGGCAGUGGUGGCUCAAGUGGUUAAGCCUCUGG